CUCGUAGGCGGUUCAACAAGUCGGUCGUGAAAGCCCGGGGCUCAACCCCGGGACGCCGGUCGAAACUGUUGUGACUUGAGUUCGGUAGAGGUGAGUGGAAUUCUCGGUGUAGCGGUGGAAUGCGCAGAUAUCGAGAGGAACACCCGUAGCGAAGGCGGCUCACUGGGCCGAUACUGACGCUGAGGAGCGAAAGCGUGGAGAGCAAACA
rnacentral:rRNA from 1 species